UGUCAACGCAACACCACUAUUUUUAUUCGUAAACGCAAUGAAAACAAAAAAUUUACGCCGAGCAAUUUUGGAAAAGACAAUUUACGAGAAAAUGACUCGUUCAACCUUCAGGCCUUCCUAACGUAUAUAGACGGUAAAUUGGAAGAUCCUGGCUUAACCGAAGGUGCCAAUGAGGACAUAUUCAUUGCCAUUAACGGUUCACCGGCUCAAAUGUCUGAUUCUGAUUCCGGCAACAGUUCUUCGAGAGACGACACGCGGAUAAUUUCGGACGAAGGACGGAGGAUGCUGAAGGAAAUGGUCAAGGGAUAUGUGGCACACAAGGUUGCCCGGAUGGCUAUGGACGAACAACGAAUAUCUCUGUUACUUCUCCUUUCGCAACUCGGCGAACCGGCACGGAAGCUCUACCGCAUUCCGGGCAUCCUGCAGCCACCAGUCAAUAAUCCACCGCCGAAUUAAGAACAGCUUAGGACGAGAUUCGGGCGCACUUACAGUGCCGGGGUCAACAUAUACAUUACCUCAACUAAAUUUUCCUUGCUUCCUAAUCGCUCAUCAAACAAGUUUCUCGUCUAUUGGGUCCUGGAUUGAACUAGGCCGGCAAGUUCUAUAAGCGAAGCAGACGGGCUGUAACAAUGACAGAAUUGAACUACGGAAUUGCACUACGGAAUUGUACUACGGAACUGGUACUACAUAAUUGGAAUACAGAAUUGGAACACAGGACCGAAAUUGGAAUGUGGAAUUAAAAAAUACGGAAUGGGAAGCGAAGAAUUUAAAGAAAGAACAUCUUUCGGUUAAGGAAAAGAAUACAUCUGGAAAUGCGUUCAACUUUUGCCGAAGGCAUCGGAAGUGUGAAGUGAGGACGAAGGCGUCGGAAGUGUUAAGUGAAGGCGUAGGCUGAUAAAAAGGAAAUGUGAAGAUUCGGAACGGAAAAGAAUAGGGGUAUGGCGAUCUCAUCAACGUUGUCGUGCUACGAGUUUGGUUAAAGAAUCCAGCUUGAAAGAAUAGACCACCUACGAACGGAUAAAAAUUAUAUUCGAAGCGAACGGAUGACAGUAUUCGUUGUUGCGGGGGUGUGAAGGACUUGAAUUAAGGGGGUGUGUUAGUUUUAGUGAAAUCUAGUUCACUAGUAGUAAUUCAAUUGAUUGACAGAUCAUAGUACACGACUUCACUGUGUUUAUUAGUCUCAAGGAAUAAAGACGUUUUUCUAUAA